rnacentral:rRNA from 1 species
GUUUGAUCCUGGCUCAGGAUGAACGCUAGCUACAGGCUUAACACAUGCAAGUCGAGGGGAAACGAUAUUGAAAGCUUGCUUUCGAUAGGCGUCGACCGGCGCACGGGUGAGUAACGCGUAUCCAACCUGCCCAUAACUAAGGGAUAAUCCGUAGAAAUGCGGUCUAAUACCUUAUGUGUUCCGAGGAAGACAUCUGAUUUGGAUUAAAGAUUUAUCGGUUAUGGAUGGGGAUGCGUCUGAUUAGAUUGUUGGCGGGGCAACGGCCCACCAAGUCUGCGAUCAGUAGGGGUUCUGAGAGGAAGGUCCCCCACAUUGGAACUGAGACACGGUCCAAACUCCUACGGGAGGCAGCAGUGAGGAAUAUUGGUCAAUGGGCGAGAGUCUGAACCAGCCAAGUAGCGUGAAGGAUGACUGCCCUCUGGGUUGUAAACUUCUUUUAUAUGGGAAUAAAGUAUUCCACGUGUGGGAUUUUGUAUGUACCAUAUGAAUAAGGAUCGGCUAACUCCGUGCCAGCAGCCGCGGUAAUACGGAGGAUCCGAGCGUUAUCCGGAUUUAUUGGGUUUAAAGGGAGCGUAGGUGGAUUGUUAAGUCAGUUGUGAAAGUUUGCGGCUCAACCGUAAAAUUGCAGUUGAAACUGGNAGUCUUGAGUACAGUAGAGGUGGGCGGAAUUCGUGGUGUAGCGG